rnacentral:snoRNA from 1 species
AUCUGGGAGAUAGCCCCUGAUAAGAAUGGGCCCAUCUCUGUUGCAACAGAGGAAAUUAAUGUCAAGAUAUCGUUUCAAUUGCCCUGAUUUGAAUGGGCAAUUUGAUUGUUGCUUGACAACAA